UAUACAUGCAAGUCGUACGCUUCUUUUUCCACCGGAGCUUGCUCCACCGGAAAAAGAAGAGUGGCGAACGGGUGAGUAACACGUGGGUAACCUGCCCAUCAGAAGGGGAUAACACUUGGAAACAGGUGCUAAUACCGUAUAACAAUCGAAACCGCAUGGUUUUGAUUUGAAAGGCGCUUUCGGGUGUCGCUGAUGGAUGGACCCGCGGUGCAUUAGCUAGUUGGUGAGGUAACGGCUCACCAAGGCCACGAUGCAUAGCCGACCUGAGAGGGUGAUCGGCCACAUUGGGACUGAGACACGGCCCAAACUCCUACGGGAGGCAGCAGUAGGGAAUCUUCGGCAAUGGACGAAAGUCUGACCGAGCAACGCCGCGUGAGUGAAGAAGGUUUUCGGAUCGUAAAACUCUGUUGUUAGAGAAGAACAAGGAUGAGAGUAACUGUUCAUCCCUUGACGGUAUCUAACCAGAAAGCCACGGCUAACUACGUGCCAGCAGCCGCGGUAAUACGUAGGUGGCAAGCGUUGUCCGGAUUUAUUGGGCGUAAAGCGAGCGCAGGCGGUUUCUUAAGUCUGAUGUGAAAGCCCCCGGCUCAACCGGGGAGGGUCAUUGGAAACUGGGAGACUUGAGUGCAGAAGAGGAGAGUGGAAUUCCAUGUGUAGCGGUGAAAUGCGUAGAUAUAUGGAGGAACACCAGUGGCGAAGGCGGCUCUCUGGUCUGUAACUGACGCUGAGGCUCGAAAGCGUGGGGAGCAAACAGGAUUAGAUACCCUGGUAGUCCACGCCGUAAACGAUGAGUGCUAAGUGUUGGAGGGUUUCCGCCCUUCAGUGCUGCAGCUAACGCAUUAAGCACUCCGCCUGGGGAGUACGACCGCAAGGUUGAAACUCAAAGGAAUUGACGGGGGCCCGCACAAGCGGUGGAGCAUGUGGUUUAAUUCGAAGCAACGCGAAGAACCUUACCAGGUCUUGACAUCCUUUGACCACUCUAGAGAUAGAGCUUCCCCUUCGGGGGCAAAGUGACAGGUGGUGCAUGGUUGUCGUCAGCUCGUGUCGUGAGAUGUUGGGUUAAGUCCCGCAACGAGCGCAACCCUUAUUGUUAGUUGCCAUCAUUCAGUUGGGCACUCUAGCAAGACUGCCGGUGACAAACCGGAGGAAGGUGGGGAUGACGUCAAAUCAUCAUGCCCCUUAUGACCUGGGCUACACACGUGCUACAAUGGGAAGUACAACGAGUCGCGAAGUCGCGAGGCUAAGCUAAUCUCUUAAAGCUUCUCUCAGUUCGGAUUGUAGGCUGCAACUCGCCUACAUGAAGCCGGAAUCGCUAGUAAUCGCGGAUCAGCACGCCGCGGUGAAUACGUUCCCGGGCCUUGUACACACCGCCCGUCACACCACGAGAGUUUGUAACACCCGAAGUCGGUGAGGUAACCUUUGGAGCCAGCCGCCUAAGGUGGGAUAGAUGAUUGGGGGAAGU
rnacentral:rRNA from 1 species